GCGGUAAUUCCAGCUCCAAUAGCGUAUAUUAAAGUUGUUGCAGUUAAAAAGCUCGUAGUUGAACCUUGGGUCUGGCUGGCCGGUCCGCCUCACCGCGAGUACUGGUCCGGCUGGACCUUUCCUUCUGGGGAACCUCAUGGCCUUCACUGGCUGUGGGGGGAACCAGGACUUUUACUGUGAAAAAAUUAGAGUGUUCAAAGCAGGCCUUUGCUCGAAUACAUUAGCAUGGAAUAAUAGAAUAGGACGUGCGGUUCUAUUUUGUUGGUUUCUAGGACCGCCGUAAUGAUUAAUAGGGAUAGUCGGGGGCGUCAGUAUUCAGCUGUCAGAGGUGAAAUUCUUGGAUUUGCUGAAGACUAACUACUGCGAAAGCAUUCGCCAAGGAUGUUUUCAUUAAUCAGGGAACGAAAGUUAGGGGAUCGAAGACGAUCAGAUACCGUCGUAGUCUUAACCAUAAACUAUGCCGACUAGGGAUCGGGCGGUGUUUCUAUGAUGACCCGCUCGGCACCUUACGAGAAAUCAAAGUUUUUGGGUUCUGGGGGGAGUAUGGUCGCAAGGCUGAAACUUAAAGAAAUUGACGGAAGGGCACCACAAGGCGUGGAGCCUGCGGCUUAAUUUGACUCAACACGGGGAAACUCACCAGGUCCAGACAAAAUAAGGAUUGACAGAUUGAGAGCUCUUUCUUGAUCUUUUGGAUGGUGGUGCAUGGCCGUUCUUAGUUGGUGGAGUGAUUUGUCUGCUUAAUUGCGAUAACGAACGAGACCUCGGCCCUUAAAUAGCCCGGUCCGCAUUUGCGGGCCGCUGGCUUCUUAGGGGGACUAUCGGCUCAAGCCGAUGGAAGUGCGCGG
rnacentral:rRNA from 1 species